UACAGAGGGUGCGAGCGUUGUCCGGAAUCACUGGGCGUAAAGGGCGCGUAGGUGGCGGCCCAAGUCCAUGGUGAAAGCUCGUCGCUCAACGACGAGUCGGCCACGGAUACUGGGUUGCUCGAGCACUGUAGAGGCAGAUGGAAUUCCGGGUGUAGCGGUGGAAUGCGUAGAGAUCCGGAAGAACACCGGUGGCGAAGGCGGUCUGCUGGGCAGUAGCUGACACUGAGGCGCGACAGCGUGGGGAGCAAACAGG
rnacentral:rRNA from 1 species